GAGCAGUCAACAUGUAGCAGACAAAGGAGUUGCAGGUCCAGCAUUCCCCGGAGAACUGCUUGUCUGUGGGCCUUAAGCAGGGCUAAAAUAGAACCCAGGACCACUGUUUCAGGAAUAGAACCACUCACAAUGGAAUGAGCUCUCCCGUGUCAAUCACAAAUUAAGAAAAUGUUUCACAGUUGUAUCUUAUGGAGCUCUUUUGUCAGUGGUAUGUAUUUCCACUGAUUGUGUUUUCUUGUCAUUUAAGAUGUUUUCCCCAACCUUGAGUUGGUUUAUAUGGAAGAGAGAAGUGCCUGCAGGAACCAUGCUACAUAUUCAACUGGAGAGGGAAUGCACAUCUUAUGGGAAUGGAAACUUUUGAUUGUUUCAGAUUCUAGAACAUGUUUGAGUUGGUCUUGAAUAAUACAUUGUUGUUCUUUUUUCUAUAUUCAAUUAAGUAAUCACAGAUAUAUAGUCAUUAAGAAUUUUAGGCUGAGAGGGACUACUAAGUAAUUUAGGUGGAUGGGUAAGUUAGGAUAAGACAAGAUAGGAUAAGUUAGGUUAGGAUAAAGUAAGCUACAAUAAUAAGUAACAAUACGUAUUUGUCACUCUUACUCCUCCCUACAACCUUACCUAUAAAAGUCUACUCAGAUGAAACUGCAGGGAAAUCAACAUU
rnacentral:lncRNA from 1 species